UUCUUUUCUCUUUCUCUUCCUUCUUCCUCCUCUUUUUCUCCUUCUCUCUCUUCCUCUUUUUCUUCAUCUCCUUCCAUUCUUUUUUCCUUGCUCUGCAAGUUCAAAUACUUUGAUUUCAAACUAGAUAGCUCAAACUUGUCAUCAUAUGAAUCUCUUUUUGACAAAGUUUCAAAGUCGUCUUUUUCGGAGCUCGAAUGAAGUUGGAAAUGGAAGUUUUGUG
rnacentral:lncRNA from 1 species